rnacentral:tRNA from 1 species
GGGGUUGUGGCUGAGUGGUAUAGCGCUUGCCUCACAUGCACGGGGCACUGUGUUGGAUCCUCAACCACA